rnacentral:rRNA from 1 species
CCCUUAGAUGUUCUGGGCCGCACGCGCGCUACACUGAUGCAUUCAACGAGUCUAAAACCUGCUCUGAUAGGGGUGGGUAAUCUUUUGAAUGUGCAUCGUGAUUGGGAUAGAUGAUUGCAAUUUUUCAUCUUCAACGAGGAAUGCCUAGUAAACGCAAGUCAUCAGCUUGCAUUGAUUACGUCCCUGCCCUUUGUACACACCGCCCGUCGCUCCUACCGAUUGAAUGAUCCGAUGAAUAUCAUGGAUUGAGGAUUAUAGCAGGUUCGCCUGUCUUGAUCUUCGAGAAGCGAAGUAAAUCUUAUCAUUUAGAGGAAGGAGAAGUCGUAACA